rnacentral:rRNA from 1 species
UACGUAGGGGCCUAGCGUUGUCCGGAUUUAUUGGGCGUAAAGGGCUCGUAGGCGGCCAACUAAGUCGGAUGUGAAAUCCCCAGGCUUAACCUGGGAACUGCAUCCGAUACUGGAUGGCUUGAAUCCGGGAGAGGGAUGCAGAAUUCCAGGUGUAGCGGUGAAAUGCGUAGAUAUCUGGAGGAAUACCGGUGGCGAAGGCGGCAUCCUGGACCGGCAUUGACGCUGAUGAGCGAAAGCUGAGGGGAGCAAACGGGG